rnacentral:rRNA from 1 species
UACGAAGGGGGCUAGCGUUGUUCGGAAUUACUGGGCGUAAAGCGCGCGCAGGCGGCCUUUCAAGUCAGGGGUGAAAGCCCAGAGCUCAACUCUGGAAUUGCCUUUGAGACUGAGUGGCUUGAGUACGAGAGAGGUGAGUGGAAUUCCCAGUGUAGAGGUGAAAUUCGUAGAUAUUGGGAAGAACACCGGUGGCGAAGGCGGCUCACUGGCUCGUAACUGACGCUCAUGCACGACAGCGUGGGGAUCAAACAGG